UCUUCUUAUGAUCCAUAUGCAUAUUGAACACAAGGACCAAGGAGGCUCACUAUAAUUCAACCCUGCUUCUUUUUAAUCCUCCUCAUCCUUCCAUAACUCUGUGGAUAUUCAAUUAAUGUAGAAGUGGUGAGGGUAAACUGUAGAAGCAGUGAGGGUAAAUUGAACCUGUGCUGACAGAACAGGAAAUCCCCAGAGUUCAGUUUGUGUUAAAAUUAGGUUAACUUUGAUUGUUCACAAAUCUAACCUGUUCUUGUGUCCUUUGGAUAUGGUCUGAGGAAAGUCCAGUUUUAUCCUGGACUACUCUACAGACAGCACACAGUACUGCCCUUCUCUCAUGUAUCGAUUCUAAACAGGCCUGGGGAGACUUACCACACAUGCCAUGGAGGGAACUGAUGAAAGGCCAAGUAAAUAUACUACCAAUAUCUAAUUUGUUGGAAGAGUGAAGUAAAGUACUGGAUGUUUAACUGUAAAGGAGCUUCUUCAAAUGGGAGAAAAGAUGGGAGAUACAUGCCAACAGUGAGUCCAUGCAGAAGUGGCAUCAUAACUGGUGACUAGAAGUGGAAUAAGAGAUUCUUCCUGCAUCACGACUGCUAUAGCACACAGUCAGAAGGAGCAAGUGACUCACUCACACAGCUGCUUGGAGCUACAAUGCCACACAGCCUUUGUCGACCAGCUAUUCCCUGUGAAAGAAGCCUAGUCAGUUUGACCUCUCUUCUGCAUCUUCUAAACUCUUGGCCAAGAUCUUCUGGUCUGGGAGAUACUAUGGCAGGAACAGCACAGAAAAAUAAAUGAAGGAGGAAGAUGAUAUGGGAAGAUGCUUUCUCACAUCUGAUUUCCUACAAAGUGCCUGCCACAAUCUCGCCCAUCUCUCGCCAACUGGUAUACUGUCUCUGCUUUCCAAAAUUCUAGAUACUCAACAUCAACUCCUACAGAAGACAAAGAAUUAAUAAGAAGUAUGUCCAGAAGACACUAGCCCCACUCUUCCAACCCCAUCACUGUGCUCAGUAGAUUCCCUGGUUUAUAAUCCAACUGGAAGAACUGAGGCAGGCACUCCUGUAUGCUGGCUCCCCAUAUAUGACCAACCACUCACAUAUAAGGUCGGAUGCUCUCCUUUCUCUCUGUCAUCAAGCCACUGAAUUCAUCAGGAAGGAGUCCUCUAUCAGCUCAAGUGCUUUGAGCUCAUGUGCUCUGGGCUCCCCACUAUUUAGUGGGCAGCUCCAGCAGGCAUUGAAAUAGGCUCUUAUCUCAACUUGAACCCGAAACCUGUGACUCUACUUUAUUCUCCAAAUACAGAAGCCCAAAAACCAAGAAGUAGGAAGGUAAUGUCAGUGAUGUCAGUGGUACAGCACUGCGCAUGGUGUAUGGAUGCAUCCCUCUGCGUUGUAAAGAAGAAAAGUCUUCACUCAGAAGUGGGCACCUGCACUGAAAAUUCAUGGAGUUAGAAUACAGGGAUGCGCCUGAUCCAUUCAAUGGUGCAAGAUUGGAGACAGGAUUCUUCCCCAGAAGAAAACCUUAUUAAGAGUUCCAAUGGAGACUGCAGCCUGACUGAUGGUGCUCACAUUUCUUCAACAUCAGUGAGACCACCCUUGGCACAAGUCACAAAAUCUACCUUAUUAUGAGGGUGGACAUGCAAGCUUCAGUCAAAGGCUGUUCUACAGUGAGAAUCUGUGGGAUUCUUCAACGGUGUCUAAGAUGAUGAACAGCAAUGGAAGCCAUGGAAGUGUCCCACAUUAAAAUGAGGGGGAAAGCUGCAAAGGUGGAUACUGGAAAAGAGCAGAAGAUCCUGGGGAUGGUAAUGUCCUCCUAUUUUCAGAAAGCUGCACAUUCUAAGCAUUGCUGGACUUUAGAGAAAAACCCUGAAAAUAUCAAGCAAAUAAGAUCUGUAUCAGCUGGUGAAAUAUAAUAAAGUCUUCAAUUUUUUUUGAUAAAACCA